GCAGUGGUUGUCGUCAGCUCGUGCCGUGAGGUGUCGGGUUAAGUCCCAUAACGAGCGCAACCCCUACCUUUAGUUGCCAUCAGGUAAUGCUGGGGACUCUAAAGGAACUGCCUACGCAAGUAGUGAGGAAGGCGGGGAUGACGUCAAAUCAGCACGGCCCUUACGUCCAGGGCUACACACGUGCUACAAUGGCCGAUACAGAGGGCAGCUACCUGGUGACAGGAUGCAAAUCUCCAAAGUCGGUCUCAGUUCGGAUCGGAGUCUGCAACCCGACUCCGUGAAGUUGGAUUCGCUAGUAAUCGCGCAUCAGCCAUGGCGCGGUGAAUACGUUCCCGGGCCUU
rnacentral:rRNA from 1 species